rnacentral:rRNA from 1 species
UACGUAGGUGACCAGCGUUGUCCGGAUUUACUGGGCGUAAAGAGCGCGCAGGCGGUCGUUCAAGUCGAGUGUGAAAGCCCCCGGCUCAACUGGGGAGGGUCACUCGAUACUGAUCGACUCGAAGGCAGAAGAGGGAAGCGGAAUUCCCGGUGUAGUGGUGAAAUGCGUAGAUAUCGGGAGGAACACCAGUGGCGAGGGCGGCUUCCUGGCCUGUUCUUGACGCUGAGGCGCGAAAGCCAGGGGAGCAAACGGG